AAUUCUCAAAACCCCUUUCUUUGGUCUUUUGGUCGGGAAAAGGAUUUUGGACUUGGAGGCCUUUUGCCGGCUUUGCCUCAAAGCCGGCUCCUCCCAAAUGAAUUAGUGGGGUCUGCUUUGCCGAUCCUUGGCGUGAUAAGUUGCUUCUACGUCUUGGGUUUUGGCACUGUGCGCCUGCUUCUAACCGUCUAAUCGACAACGAUGGUGUUCUGGUCACCGCCGAUUCAUCGGUGGGAGGCUUGACCCACAAAAUGAA
rnacentral:misc_RNA from 1 species